rnacentral:rRNA from 1 species
AUUGAACGCUGGCGGCAGGCCUAACACAUGCAAGUCGAACGAGUGGCGGACGGGUGAGUAAUGUCUGGGAAACUGCCUGAUGGAGGGGGAUAACUACUGGAAACGGUAGCUAAUACCGCAUACCAUCGGAUGUGCCCAGAUGGGAUGAGCGAGUAGGUGGGGUAUAGGCUCACCUAGGCGACGAUCCCUAGCUGGUCUGAGAGGAUGACCGGCCACACGGGAACGGAGACACGGUCCAGACUCCUACGGGAGGAAGCAGUGGGGAAUAUUGUACAAGGGGCGCAAGCCGGAUGAAGCCAUGCCGCGUGUAUGAAGAAGGCCUGCGGGUGGUAAAGUACUUUCAGCGGGGAGGCGUUACCCGCAGAAAAAGCACCGGCUAACUCCGUGCCAGCAGCCGCGGUAAUAC